rnacentral:tRNA from 1 species
UUAUUACUUUGGCAGAUUAGUGCAAUGAAUUUAGAAUUCAAAAAUAUAAUUUUAUUAUAUGUA